rnacentral:rRNA from 1 species
AACGAACGCUGGCGGCAUGCCUAACACAUGCAAGUCGAACGAGACCUUCGGGUCUAGUGGCGCACGGGUGCGUAACGCGUGGGAACCUGCCCUUAGGUUCGGAAUAACUCCCCGAAAGGGGUGCUAAUACCGGGUAAUGUCUUCGGACCAAAGAUUUAUCGCCUGUGGAUGGGCACGCGUUGGAUUAGCUAGUUGGUAGGGUAAAAGCCUACCAAGGCGACGAUCCAUAGCUGGUCUGAGAGGAGGAUCAGCCACACUGGGAGUGAGACACGGCCCAGACUCCUGGGGGAGGGAGAAGUGGGGAAUAUUGGACAAUGGGCGAACGGCUGAUCCAGCAAUGCGGCGUGAGUGAUGAAGGUGUUAGGGUUGUAUAGCACUUUUACCCGGGAUGAUAAUGACGGUACCGGGAGAAUAAGCUCCGGCUAACUCCGUG